rnacentral:rRNA from 1 species
CCUACGGGUGGCAGCAGUGGGGAAUAUUUGGCAAUGGGCGCAAGCCUGACCCAGCAACGCCGCGUGAAGGAAGAAGGCUUUCGGGUUGUACACUUCUUUUAAGAGGGAAGAGCAGAAGACGGUACCUCUUGAAUAAGCCACGGCUAACUACGUACCAGCAGACGCGGUAAUACGUAGGUGGCAAGCGUUGUCCGGAUUUACGGGGUGUAAAGGGCGUGUAGCCGGGCUGACAAGUCAGAUGUGAAAUCCGGGGGCUGAACCCCCGAACUGCAUUUGAAACUGUUGGUCUUGAGUAUCGGAGAGGCAGGCGGAAUUCCGAGUGGAGCGGUGAAAUGCGUAGAUAUUAGGAGGAGCACCAGUGGAGAAGGCGGCCUGCUGGACGACAACUGACGGGGAGGCGCGAAAGCGUGGGGAGCAAACAGGAUUAGAUACCCGAGUAGUC